rnacentral:rRNA from 1 species
UACGGAGGGGGCUAGCGUUGUUCGGAAUUACUGGGCGUAAAGCGCACGUAGGUGGCUUUGUAAGUUAGAGGUGAAAUCCUGGAGCUCAACUCCAGAACUGCCUUCGAUACUGGGAGUCUCGAGUCCGGGAGAGGUGAGUGGAACUGCGAGUGUAGAGGUGAAAUUCGUAGAUAUUCGCAAGAACACCAGUGGCGAAGGCGGCUCACUGGCCCGGUACUGACGCUGAGGUGCGAAAGCGUGGGGAGCAAACAGG